GUAGUCAUAUGCUUGUCUCAAAGAUUAAGCCAUGCAUGUCUAAGUAUAAACAACUUUAUACUGUAAAACUGCGAACGGCUCAUUAUAUCAGCAAUAAUUUAUUUGAUGGUUUCUUACUACAUGGAUAACUGUAGUAAUUCUAGAGCUAAUACAUGCGUAAAGUCCCAACUCUCGCGGGGAGGGAUGUAUUUAUUAGAUAAAAAACCAAUGCGGGUUCUGCUCGCCUUUGUGUUGAAUCAUAGUAACUUUUCGAACGGCAUAGCCUUGUGCUGGCCGUAGAUCAUUCAAAUUUCUGCCCUAUCAGCUUUCGACGGUAGUGUAGUGGACUACCGUGGCGUCAACGGGUAACGGGGAAU
rnacentral:rRNA from 1 species